rnacentral:rRNA from 1 species
GACGAACGCUGGCGGCGUGCUUAACACAUGCAAGUCGAACGGAAAGGCCCUGCUUUUGUGGGGUGCUCGAGUGGCGAACGGGUGAGUAACACGUGAGUAACCUGCCCUUGACUUUGGGAUAACUUCAGGAAACUGGGGCUAAUACCGGAUAGGAGCUCCUGCUGCAUGGUGGGGGUUGGAAAGUUUCGGCGGUUGGGGAUGGACUCGCGGCUUAUCAGCUUGUUGGUGGGGUAGUGGCUUACCAAGGCUUUGACGGGUAGCCGGCCUGAGAGGGUGACCGGCCAAAUUGGGAAGGGGAACCGGCCAGGACCCCUCCGGGGGGAAGCAGGGGGGAAUAUUGCACAAGGGGCGGAAGCCUGAAGCAGCACCGCCCGGGGGGGGAGGACGGCCUUCGGGUUGUAAACCGCUUUCCCCUGUGACGAAGGGGGAGUGACGGUAAUGGGUAAGGAAGCACCGGCUAACUACG